UUACGGGAUGCAGCAGUAGGGAAUAUUGCCCAAUGGACGAAAGUCUGAGGCAGCAACGCCGCGUGUGCGAAGAAGGUCUUCGGAUUGUAAAGCACUUUUGACAGGGAAGAGGAAGGACAGUACCUGUAGAAUAAGCCUCGGCUAACUACGUGCCAGCAGCCGCGGUAACACGUAGGAGGCAAGCGUUAUCCGGAUUUACUGGGCGUAAAGCGCGUGCAGGCGGGCAUGUAAGUUAGAUGUGAAAUCUCCUGGCUUAACUGGGAGAGGUCGUCUAAAACUGUAUGUCUGGAGUGUGAGAGAGGGAGGCAGAAUUCCGAGUGUAGUGGUGAAAUGCGUAGAUAUUCGGAGGAAUACCAGAGGCGAAGGCGGCCUCCUGGCUCACAACUGACGCUGAGACGCGAAAACUAGGGUAGCAAACGGGAUUAGAUACCCCAGUAGUA
rnacentral:rRNA from 1 species